rnacentral:lncRNA from 1 species
CUUACCUGUUCUGAGAAGAAGGCUCUUGAUUUUCAAGGUCAAAUUCCCACACCUCUCUACCCCAUGUACUCCACGCUUAGAUAACAAUACAGUGCCUCUCUUUCUUUACCUCUUUCCCCACAAUUUCUUCCUUUUUCUUGAAUCCCAGCCCAUCCUUGAGGCCUGCCACCAAUUGGAAGAUCUUCAGUUCCACCUCUUUCCUGGACAUCUGACUGUAUUGCCCAUCAUUGUCUAUGCUCUGCCCACCGAGAAGAUGCAUCUGGAUCCCUGGUGUCACUUAUUGCUGAACUGUUUGAAUACCAAGUUAUACCGACCUGAAUCUCCCAAGUACCAACAGCAGCCUGGCUCGAAGCCAGAAGGAAUGACUGGAUAUCCCAAGUACCUGAUGGCCACAUAAACAUUUGAAGUAUCAAGCAUUAGAAGAAAGACCAGGAAGAAGACAAGGAUUCCCACUUUCAUCACUGCUAUUCAGCAUAGUACUGGAAGUCCUAGCCAGAAAAACUAUGCAAGCAAAAGAAAUAAAAAGCAUCCAUAUAGGAAAAGAAACAGUGAAAUUAUCUCUAUUUGCUGA